UGGGGAAUAUUGCACAAUGGGCGAAAGCCUGAUGCAGCGACGCCGCGUGAGGGAUGACGGCCUUCGGGUUGUAAACCUCUUUCAGCAGGGAAGAAGUGAAAGUGACGGUACCUGCAGAAGAAGCGCCGGCUAACUACGUGCCAGCAGCCGCGGUAAUACGUAGGGCGCAAGCGUUGUCCGGAAUUAUUGGGCGUAAAGAGCUCGUAGGCGGCUUGUCACGUCGGAUGUGAAAGCCCGGGGCUUAACCCCGGGUCUGCAUUCGAUACGGGCAGGCUAGAGUGUGGUAGGGGAGAUCGGAAUUCCUGGUGUAGCGGUGAAAUGCGCAGAUAUCAGGAGGAACACCGGUGGCGAAGGCGGAUCUCUGGGCCAUUACUGACGCUGAGGAGCGAAAGCGUGGGGAGCGAACAGGAUUAGAUACCCUGGUAGUCCACGCCGUAAACGUUGGGAACUAGGUGUUGGCGACAUUCCACGUCGUCGGUGCCGCAGCUAACGCAUUAAGUUCCCCGCCUGGGGAGUACGGCCGCAAGGCUAA
rnacentral:rRNA from 1 species